AUGGAUGUCCUUGAGCUGACUUAAGCGUCUUCCAUGGCCUGGAGCCCUGUGAUUGCAUCUGUAUGUUCGGACAAUGGAGAUCAAUCCGUGCUUCAUAUUGGUGAAAAUGAACACAUUCACGCUGAUUAAGCAUUUUUUCUUGGUGAUCCAUCUUAUCAUUGCAUCUCUAUGUUAGAAGCACAGAGACCAAUAAUUUGAGCUGAUCAAGCUAUAAUAUUCUGUGAUCAUGCACCUUAUGAUUGUAGGAACCCAUGUGAGUAUUGAUCACAUUUAAGGGGGUGUUCAAUACUUAGGAGAGAUGUAUGGAAUUAAUGAGUAAAGAAUGUGGAAAUAAGUGAAGAGAAGAAGGGAUAACACUGGAUCAAUGAUGACUACUGGUGGCGUAUGAAUUGUGAAUGAUGAAUACAUGUCUGGAGCUCUGAGGUCCAAUGCGAAUAAAAUCAAGCCCAUCCAUUAUCCUAUUGGAUGUGACCCUAUGGCAGAGGCCAGAAAUACAGGAAAGGCUUCUUUGUGGUUCUUGUUUUGAUGCCACAAUGUUCUGUUGACUAUAAUGGGCAAAUUGAAGAGCUCUUCUUAAAGAGUUAAAGUGAAGUAAAGAUGAAAGGCAGAAAGCAAUUUCCAAUCAUGGAACUGUGGGUUGAGAAAAGAUAGACUAGACUAUGAAUAUGGCAAAAACACCCUCAAUUGCAAUGAGUAAGUCAUGGGGCCUGACUGUUAGCAUGUAGGGAAAGUAUGAAGCAGACCAGAUAAGUAAUAGGCAGCCAUCAUCUUGUGGCUCCAUGGAAAGAUCCAAGUGAUUCAUUUUCACGAGAUUUCCCAGGUGCCCUGAGUGAAGGACGGCUUGAAUGCAAACAGGGGCCAGUGGAGAGUGUCUCUAGCAUAUUGAUGGUGCGCCUUGCUGUAUACUCCUCAGAGUGGAGACGUGUUAAAGGAUUCCUUAUAGAGGACCAGCCUAGAACACCAUCUUUGUUAUAGGAGCGAGGAGACCCCUGUGGGCAUCAAUCAUCUCAUUCCUCGUCUGUAGUCGGGUAGUUUCUCUGAAACUAACAAGCGUAAGGUUCCUUGAUGAAUAAGGAAGUGAUAUGUGGGAACAGCCAAGAGCAAAGAUGAGACAGAGAUAGAAUGAUAAAAGAAAAUUUCUAGAGACCUAUGAGCCACAUGAAGGCCUCAUUAUAACCCCGGUAUUAAAACUGUCAUUAGUGGAGUAAGGCAUGAAUCUGUUACCAAUACUGAAGGACAAGAAAGUCAUGGUUUCUGGAUCGAUGAUGAUCCAUGCCAGUGUGUGAGUCCCUGACGAUGAGUAACACAUGUCUGGAACUCUGAGGUCCAAUAGGAAAAAAUGUGGUCUUUCUCUUCAUGGAUUUUCAUUGGUUCCUUGAUGGUGAGAAGUUUGAGAUAUUCGAUGGUCUUUUUGCUGGGUUUGGGGCAUCCUGCUUUUGUUUCAUCAGUAUUGAUGACAUGAUGAUUUAUAUGAUCAAAACGAAUGAAUGAAAGACCUACAACUGGGCCUUAGGGACCCAAAGAUGAACUUGGUAGAAGAUGAGGGGUGGGCAAGUAACCGAGAGCAUCUGGAAACCUGAGGGCCAUGACAGUGCAUCUUCGCUUGUCUACUUUUCUUUCUUCCUGUGGACAGAUAUUGGGAAUCUCUAAGUCAUAUUCUUAUGUUGGGUUAGUGAAGUUAGAUUUCUUGUUAUCAAAAGACAGGUCCCUUGAAAGGGUAUACCUACUAGAUUGAGUAGAAAAUGUCAGUUAGUGUCUCCUCUGGACACUUGCGGUCCUGCAAGAAAUAAUGAUAAAAAUUGCCUCUGUGGACACACAUUUAGCAACACAUGAACCUAAGAGGUCAACUCCUUGGCAAAGCAUCAUGUAGGUGUAUCACAGGAAGAGUCACUUGUAUUGUUUGUAUACUCUCAGAUAUGAGUAUAGUUUUAUUUCUAGAAAACAAUAUCUUUGCAUUAUGAAAUAGGUAUUAAUUCCUCAUAAUUCAGAACAUGAAAUUUGGAGAGGAAGAAUCAGUGGCCCUAAAUUUUUCUUUCUCUCUCUUUUUCUUUUGUUUUCAUGGACUGGACUCUAUUCAUGGGAAUCGACGCCUUUGAGCUGAAUAAACUGUCAGUAGUCCGUGGUCAUGGACCUUAUGGUUGUAGAAACCCGUAGUGAAUGCCUGGGAUCUGAUGGAGGGAUUCCUCAUGGAGCACCAGCCUAGGAUGGCGUCUUUGCCGUUGGGACCAUAGAACCUAGACCCAUAAUAGAAGCUCAUGGUGAUUUCAGCCUCCAUGAUGAUCAAGGUCGUGUGCUUCAGGUUGCUACGAGACAGAGAGCCAGGGAGAGUCCUGAAGGAUGAAAACAUUUCUGAAGUGUCUUUCUGAGAUCCGACACAGAACAUAAGUAGUCUAUGUCCUUUGUUGAAAAUGUGGUUGUCUGGUAUACAAAAAGAUCCUAUUCUUGUUACUUUCAUAGUUAUAGUAGUUAUUAACAAUGAAUCUAUAAUGAAAUCAUUAAACACAUAAAUAAACAUGUAAGGAAAACUUGUGAAAGUGUUCUCAUGUGAGUAUCUUUUUUUAAGAAAAGGUAUUGUGAAUAAGAAUUCAAAAUUGUGACUCCCUUUAAACUGGAGAGGGUCACUUCUUUGGCCAGAAUGCUGUAGACAUGCUUAUAUAAUAGCCAUUUAUUUAUUCUUUUUCAGAAUAAACUUAAACUUCUUUUAAGAAGUUUAAGAAAUAAACAUAGAAUAAAUAAUGAAUAAUUAAAUAUGGUAUAAAUGAAAUGCCCCAAGUAAGGAUAAGUGGUGAUUUGGUCUCAAUAUUUUCAUCCCCUUCUGUGUUUUGUGCUCCUCAGAAUGAAUGCACUAGAGAUGAUAUAGCAUCUGUCAUGGGCACCAGAUCUGUGGUUGCCUCUGAAUAAUAAGAGAAUAGAGAUUAAUAAGGGGUGUUCCUGCUGCUUCAGCCUUCACCGUGUUCAGUCAUCGGCUGUCUCUGCGUCAGGAAAACCCUAAGAAUGAAUGCAGCAGAAUGAUUUGACAUCUUCCAUGGACACAAGCUCUGUACUUGCCUCUGUAUAGUAGGAUGAUGGAGAUUAAUUUUUUGACAGAUAGCGUGUGUAUCCUGGGUUAAGGACGGCCUGAAUAAUACUGUGAAUGUGGAAGCUAGGAGCAGUGGAGAUUGUCUCCACCAUCGUGAUGGUCUGCUUUGCUUUAUAUUCCUCCGAGUGGGAGCGUGAGACCCGAAGGAAGGAUUCUUCAUGGAGUGCCUGCUUAGGAUGGCAUCUUUGUUGUUGGAACCAGAGACCCAUAACAGAAGCUCAAGGUGAUUUCAGCCUCUACUGUGAUCAGUAUCAUUUUCAGGAAAGAUCAAGAAUGAAGGCAGUAGAGAUGAUUUAGCAUAUUCCAUGGACAUGAGCUCUAUGAUUGCUUCGGAACAGGAGGAGGAUGAAGGUUAAUGUGGAUGUUGCUGCUCUCUCAGCUUCUGCUGUGCUUGCUGGUCACACCACCUGUGUGUCAGGAAGGAACUUAAGAAUAGAAGCUCAAGGUGACUUUAGCCUCCAUGGUGAUGAAGGUCAUGAGCUUCAGGUUGCUAUGGUACAGAGAAGCAGCAUCAGGGUCUUUUCCAAUGAGUCAGUUCUUCGCAUCAGA